rnacentral:rRNA from 1 species
UGCCAGCCGCCGCGGUAAUACGGAGGGAGCGAGCGUUAAUCGGAAUUACUGGGCGUAAAGCGCGCGUAGGCGGCUUUGUAAGUCGGAUGUGAAAGCCCUGGGCUCAACCUGGGAAUGGCAUUCGAUACUGCAGAGCUAGAGUAUGGUAGAGGGAAGUGGAAUUUCCGGUGUAGCGGUGAAAUGCGUAGAUAUCGGAAGGAACACCGAUGGCGAAGGCAUCUCUCUGGGCCGAUAUUGACGCUGAGGCGCGAAGGCGCGGGUAGCGAACGGGAUUAGAUA